rnacentral:rRNA from 1 species
AGCUCCAAUAGCGUAUAUUAAAGUUGUUGCAGUUAAAAAGCUCGUAGUCGGAUUUCUGGCUCGGAAGGGCGGUCCGUCCGGCUCAGUCGGAUGUGAACCAGCGUCUUCCGGCCAUCCUCGCGGGUAGCUGUUCUGCCUUCACGGGUUGGAGCAUGCGGCCCGCGUCGUUUACUGUGAACAAAUUAGAGUGUUCAAAGCAGGCUUACGCCACUGAAUACAUUAGCAUGGAAUAAUACCAUAGGACUUUGGUGACUAUUGUUGGUUACGCACCAGGGUAAUGAUUAAUAGGGACGGUUGGGGGUAUUCGUAUUCAAUUGUCAGAGGUGAAAUUCUUGGAUUUCUGGAAGACGAACGACUGCGAAAGCAUUUACCAAGGAUGUUUUCAUUGAUCAAGAACGAA